UCUGUUGAAAUAUGGUUGAAAUAAGGUCAGUUGCUGUUUCAACGUUUAAAGCUGAAUGGUUGAAAAACAGCCGGCACAUGACCAACCUUCAGCGUUGUUUUUAUAGAGUCUAUGAUCGUAACAUGUCAAUGGAGAACAAAAACUGUAAUGUGAACACAAGAAAGGUCCGAAGUGUUCUGCGAGGUCCUGGUAAAAUAAGUUCUUCAAAAUAUCUUCUUUUAAAGGACGUGACAUGUGGCCAAGUAUGGUGUCCUGUACUCUGACUUGCAGAGUGCUGGUGUCUUUAGGAAGCUCAGGAUGGGGAGGAUGUUUCAGACGUCAGAGCUACAGCAGACACCUGUCAUCUAUUGGACACUGUGUUCUUCCUCAGCAGCUUUGAAGCUUAUCUAUAUGUGUACUACAUGUGUGUGUUUGUGCUUUUCCAAAAUGUUCUACACAAACAAAUCACAAAAAUGGACAACAGAGCCAGUGGAUAAAUAAUAUUUUAAAUGGAUAGUGCACCCAAAAAUGAAAUUUCUGUCAUCAUUUACUCACCCUCGUGUUGUUCCAAACCUGUAUGAUUUACUUUCUUAUGUUGAACAUACUGUAAAAGAAGAUAUUUUGAAGAUUGCUGGUAAUCAAACAGUUGGUGGUUGCCAUUGACUUCCAUAGUAGGAAACAAAAGUAAGGAGUCACUUUUUGUUGGAGUGGAGAAAGAGGAACAAAUUGUGAAACAUUUUUCAUUAGAUUUUAUUUGUUGGUAUUUAAUUUGUUGUUGAUUUUAAUGCCGUUCAUUUUUGCUAUACAUUUUAGUAUUUUUGUAUCUAGGCUAUACAAUCUCUACCAUGAACUCAAAAGUCACGAUUUUGUGCACUUGUGCUUUACCCUAGCAUCUUAUUUUCUGUAUUCAGUUUGAAGUUCAGCCUUGAGCCUGUGUGUUUCCAGCAAACAAGACUGCAGUGCAUUCUUCCAUCCUCCUUCUACUGCUCCUCUGCAUUGUCGCAAAACAUCUAGAGAGAUUAUGUAAAGUCUCUCUCAGUUCACAAGGGUACAGAUUGCUAUUCACAUGAAUAGUGUUUGGUUGAAUAUGUCUGAAUUAAUUGAAAAAUGGUUACCAUGCAUGAAAAGCAUUUUUACUUUUUAUUUUUUUCACAGACCCAAGGCCACAUAUGGCAUUGGAGUGAUUGUUAAGGUAAGCUGUUUGGGUCUCUGAAGAUCACAUUGAGAGCGACAGAAUGUUCUGUUAGGAAUGAAAGUAUGAGGUCUUUGGGUCAAAACAUUCUUAUUCAGCAAUUAGAUUUUUUUUUUUAAAUAUUACAAGUGGUAAUAUUUCACCUAUAACUAUCAUAACAGAAUAAGAAAAUAAUUUUUUUAAGCAUAUUUGUAAAGAAAUAUUUCUUCUAAAAUUGCACAAUAAAUUGUGUAGGUACAUUUGCUAUUUUGGGGGGGAUUUCUGGCAGUUGACUUUCAUAUGAAUAUAAAUUAAGCUUUUCUGCUUAUAUGUGGUUUAUGUACUUAUUCUGUAUGUUGUAGUUCUAUAGGAAUUAACUUUAACUUUGCUUGAAAAUAUGAAAUACAAUUUAGUAUGGACUAUGGGGAAAUUUUAAAGGAAACUAUUUAUGUCAUUUCAUCUGCUACCACACUAUGAAGUGAAAAUUAAUAAAUGUAAUGAAGUGAACUCUACACUACAGGCAGUCCAUACUACUCCAGGGAGACCAAAUAGCUUUGCUAAAUAAUUAUUUCACCAACAAUUUCAGGUCAUUUUCUAUCAAUACCCUCAGUGCAGCUAUUUGAUUUAGGUUUUAUUCAGGCUGUAUUAAGCCAUAAUUGUUUUGAUUGGCUCAUGUCAUUAGAAAUAAUAUUUUCCUUGAUCUUUUGCGAUAAAAGAGCUUGAUAUGCUAUAAAAAUAAAAAAGACAACAGUUUCUAAACUGUUUUCAGAUAUUGAGCUAAUGAAGCACGAGAUAAGAUUGCAUUGUUUUCCAUUUUAUUGCUGAUUUGAAAUGUUAUCAACGCAUAAGCUUGAUAGAUUUCUGUUGUUGUUGUCAUCUCUCAUUCACAUAGACAGGAGUUGUACCUGCAUACUUUUUACCCACACAGAAAAUAACCAAGAUAGCUGCUAAUUAACAGACUUUUAAUUAAUACUUAAAGGAAUGGUAUACCCAAAAUUAAAAUUUGCUCUAAAUUUACUCACCCUCAAUGAUCCAAUAUGGUCAUCCAAUAUGUAGAUUAUUUUUUUUCUUCAUAUAAAAAGUUUCACAUUACAUCACUUGAUCAUCAAUGGAUCCUCUCCCAGUUAAAAAAAAAAAAAAUUGACUAAAAAUGAUUCUUCAGUACUAAGUGUACACAACUGUGCUAUUUUGGAACACCAUGAAUGUCAACUAAAAUCCGCUUUUAACAUCAUCUGUAUUUAACAAAUGUAUU